ensembl:lncRNA
GACACUCGGUGCUUUCUUCCCUGGACUCAGAAUGUGUGACCUAGAGCCCGAGGGCACGGGGGCUCUCAGAUCCUGGUCUCAGGGUGUUCUGCAGGCAGGAAAGGCCCUUCCCCUGCUCCAGGGAUCUGCUGAGCUUGCUGGAUUGCAUCACUCACACUGAUCUCCGAGGGGAGCCAGCUCCUUGUGCAGCUCAAACACAGCCAGAGCUGCACCCAAGGUAAAUGUCACACAGCAGGGUCGUAAGGCACGGACCCAAAGUGCUUCUCAAACUUUUCACAGACACUGCAGCACGUUUGCAGCGUUUGACAGAAAAGAAUAGGCAAGGGCACCAAUGAUUGAUCCAUGUUUUUAAGAAAAAAACUGAAGCCAUAUUUCCAGCAGGGGCCUCAGACAGACAUUGAUGUAUUUAUGGAGAAGGAGCCCGUGGGCGCCAGCCUCGGCAUCGCUGAAAAUGUUUCUGCUGCAAGGAUUUACAGCUGGGAUGGAAGAUUCAUUGCUGCUCUCCUUAUUUAUUGGAAACAUCUCUUGCAGCUGAGUAAGGCAUAAAUAUGAAAUUAAAUCACCACAACUACUCUGAAGUAGUGCUAAGGAUACUUUCUAAACCCGUGGGGCCGGGACAACUUAAAGCUGGUGUUGAAACACAAUUGAGAUACACAGUAUUUACUGAUCCAUUAUUCCAUCCCUUUACAGCUAACAUGUAAAAUCACAGAUUAUUGGAGAUCAUUGCUGUAUUCUGAUAUGAAAUGCUCACCAGGAGGGCUCAAGGGCAGCACUUUAGAUAAAGCGCAUGGCGUGAGAGAACUUUUUAUACUCUUGGAAAACAGCUUCAUAAACAACAGCAGCUGUGGUAGGAGCUCUCUGAGGCACAGACAGGGGUGCUGAUGUCCCUCAUCAGGUCACUGCAGAGAAAACAGGGAGCAGUGAGAUGGGAAACAACAGGAGCUGGUUCACAGGAGGCCUUUUUUCUUCCUCCUGACCUUCCAAAUCUGUGAUGUUGCUGAGUUGUAAAGGACAAGCGCUGGCAGCGUGUGAAACACAGGCAGUACCCAAAACUCCUCCAUCCCUAGCAGUGGCUUCAGAUGCUGGAGGAAAUGAGCAUGGUCUGCAGCAGAGUCCUUUGGUUUCUCCACAGCUGCUGGCACUUCCCCGUGUGAGUCUGGAAAGGCCUUUAGGUGUGGCAUUGAGGAUGCUGGCAGGAUGUGGGCCAUGGCUGACAGGGCAGGAGUUUGUUCCUGCCAUGUGUAAAAGGAGCCCAGGGCUGGGAAAUGCAAAGCUGAGGCACUGAGCUGUGCCAGGGCUCUGGGUGGGCGCUGGGUGCAGACUGUGGGGCACAGCUGGGGCAGGCACGGGGCAUCCCUGCACCCACCCCGCUGUCUGGUGCCACCAAAGAGGGGCAAAUUCCCAGGGAAACAGGGAAACUCCCUCAGCAUCAGCUGGGGACUGGAAGCACAGGUGGAAGAAAAAACUGUUAUCAGUCUGCCAGCCUAGGAAAGGCAAAAGUAAGACAACUAUUGAUUUUUUACCAUCAUUAGAAUCAGUAAUGGAUCGCUUCCUUGUGAGAAAUGACCUGUUCUCCUCCUUUCCAAUUCUGUUACUUUUGUAAUCAGUUUUUAUUAGGCAACCUAUUUUCUGUAAAUUACAGCCCAGAUUUCUCAACAGAUAUCAAACCAUCUUCUCAGUAAGACUACCCAUUUAAUUUCUUAUUUCUACUUGGAAAAAAUGCACUUUGCAGUAAAGUAAGAGUUGUAAGGCAAGUGAUAUUUA